rnacentral:rRNA from 1 species
UCCAGACUCCUACGGGAGGCAGCAGUGAGGAAUAUUGGUCAAUGGGCGCAAGCCUGAACCAGCCAAGUCGCGUGAGGGAUGACGGUCCUAUGGAUUGUAAACCUCUUUUGUCGGGGAGCAAGGCCCGCCACGUGUGGCGGGAAGGAGAGUACCCGAAGAAAAAGCAUCGGCUAACUCCGUGCCCGCAGCCGCGGUAAUACGGAGGAUGCGAGCGUUAUCCGGAUUUAUUGGGUUUAAAGGGUGCGUAGGCGGAAGGUUAAGUCAGCGGUCAAAUGUCGGGGCUCAACACCGGCCUGCCGUUGAAACUGGCUGUCUUGAGAUGUCGAGAGGUAUGCGGAAUGCGCAGUGUAGCGGUGAAAUGCAUAGAUAUCACGCAGAACUCCGAUUGCGAAGGCAGCAUACCGGCGCGCAACUGACGCUCAUGCACGAAAGUGUGGGUAUCGAACAGGAUUAGAUACCCCAGUAAUC